rnacentral:rRNA from 1 species
UCCACGCCCUAAACGAUGUUCACUAGUCGUCGGAAUGCUACUCAUUUCGGUGAUGCACUUAACAGAUUAAGUGAACCGCCUGGGGAGUACGGUCGCAAGAUUAAAACUCAAAGGAAUAGACGGGGACCCGCACAAGUGGGUGGAGCAUGUGGUUUAAUUCGAAAAUACGCGAAGAACCUUACCUAGCCUUGACAUUGAAGAAAUAGAUCAGAGAUGCCUUCGGGAGCUAAUUU